rnacentral:lncRNA from 1 species
UAAUUUUUGACCUCAAAACCCCCUAUCUGAGGUCUCUUCCGAGAUAUCAGAUAAAUAAGAAUAUCACAUUUUCUGAAGCUACACUUUCUUCCACUCUUUUUAUUUAUGAUAUAAGUGUGAUUGUUAUAACAUAUAUACUUCCCUGACUUCUUUAUGGUAUAAAUGAUCUCCAACUCAUUAAGCAAUUCACUCUAUUUUAAACAAAAAUAAAAACCUCUGAGAAAAAUAACAACUAAUACCAUGUCUUUAUAGCUGAACUAGAAGUUUGAAUCCUAAUAUAGCUUUUUGAGAGGAAGAUGAUAAAUUGAUUUGAAACAAUGAAGGAGAAGACAAGAAAGAGAAAAACAUACCCCAAAAAGUUCAGAUCCGAUGGUGAUAGCUUAUGAUUCGAAUUAAAUUUGUGUGGGAAUUGACGAAUUAUUCUAAGCCGAAGUUAACAAUCAAAGAUCGAGGUCUUUAGAUUUCAUAUAUGAAGAGGGAGAGAGAUAGGGAAAUCCAUUAAUGGAGUUGAUAGGGGCGGCGUCUAGGUUCCUUUAGGGUUGUUUAGAUGAGAGGAAAUAGCCUUAUGUAGUGUGAAAUGAA